rnacentral:rRNA from 1 species
GACAGAGGGUGCAAACGUUGUUCGGAAUUACUGGGCGUAAAGCGUGUGUAGGCGGCUACGUAAGUCGGAUGUGAAAGCCCCGGGCUCAACCUGGGAAGUGCACUCGAUACUGCGUAGCUUGAGUCUCGGAGAGGUUGGUGGAAUUCUCGGUGUAGAGGUGAAAUUCGUAGAUAUCGAGAGGAACACCGGUGGCGAAGGCGGCCAACUGGACGAAGACUGACGCUGAGACGCGAAAGCGUGGGGAGCGAACAGG